rnacentral:rRNA from 1 species
AAAAUAACAAUGAUUUCCCUAGUAACGGCGAGUGAAGAGGAAAGAGCUCAAAGUUGGAACCUGUUUGGCUUAGCUAAACCGGAUUGUAAACUGUAGAAGUGUUUUCCUGACACGCCUGGUAAAAAAGUCCUUUGGAACAGGGCAUCAUAGAGGGUGAGAAUCCCGUCUUUGGCCAGAGCUGUUGUCUUUUGUGAUACAUUUUCAAAGAGUCAGGUUGUUUGGGAAUGCAGCCUAAAUUGGGUGGUAAAUCUCACCUAAAGCUAAAUAUUUGCGAGAGACCGAUAGCGAACAAGUACCGUGAGGGAAAGAUGAAAAGAACUUUGAAAAGAGAGUUAAACAGUAUGUGAAAUUGUUAAAAGGGAACCGUUUGGAGCCAGACUGGCUUGAUCGUAAUCAAUCUAAGCUUCGGCUUGGAUGCACUUGCGGUCUUUGCCUGCCAACGACAAUUUUUUCUGGGGGAAAAAACUAAUGUGAAACGUAGCCCAUCUCGGUGGGUGUUAUAGUCCGUUAGAAAAUACCCUGGAUUGGAUUGAGGAACGCAGUGAAUGCUCUUUAGGGCAAGAUUGCUGGGUGCUUUCGCUAAUACAUGCUAAAAUUUCUGCCUUGGGUGGUGUUAGUGUGUAAAGGAGGAACUCGCCUAGUAUAUUUUUUAUUCGCUUAGGUUGUUGGCUUAAUGACUCUAAAUGAC